UAUGUAGUUUCCAGCGGCCACGAAAAGA
rnacentral:sRNA from 1 species